AGUCUGAUGGAGCAACGCCGCGUGACUGAAGAAGGGUUUCGGCUCGUAAAGCUCUGUUGGUAGUGAAGAAAGAUAGAGGUAGUAACUGGCCUUUAUUUGACGGUAAUUACUUAGAAAGUCACGGCUAACUACGUGCCAGCAGCCGCGGUAAUACGUAGGUGGCAAGCGUUGUCCGGAUUUAUUGGGCGUAAAGCGAGUGCAGGCGGUUCAAUAAGUCUGAUGUGAAAGCCUUCGGCUCAACCGGAGAAUUGCAUCAGAAACUGUUGAACUUGAGUGCAGAAGAGGAGAGUGGAACUCCAUGUGUACCGGUGGAAUGCGUAAAUAUAUGGAAGAACACCAGUGGCGAAGGCGGCUCUCUGGUCUGCAACUGACCCUGCGGCUCGAAGAGCAUGGGUAGCGAACAGGAUUAGAUACCCUGGUAGUCCAUGCCGUGACCGAUGAUGCUAAGUGUUGGGAGGUUUCCGCCUCUC
rnacentral:rRNA from 1 species